rnacentral:rRNA from 1 species
CAAUAGCGUAUAUUAACGUUGUUGCAGUUAAAAAGCUCGUAGUUGGAUUUCUGGAGGGAGCGUCGGCCCGUGUUUACGAGUGCGUGACGUCUCUGUCCAUCCUUGCGGGAAGGCACGGCAUUGAUUUGUUGUGUCGGAUCGCAUCAUUUACUGUGAAAAAAUUAGAGUGUUCAAAGCAGGCUUUCGCUUGAAUACAUUAGCAUGGAAUAAUAAGAUAGGACUUUGGUGCUAUUUUGUUGGUUUGCAGACCGAAGUAAUGAUUAAUAGGGAUAGUUGGGGGUAUUUAUAUUCCGAUGUCAGAGGUGAAAUUCUUAGAUUUUCGGAAGAUAAACUUAUGCGAAAGCAUUUACCAAGGAUGUUUUCAUUAA